GAGUUUGAUCAUGGCUCAGAUUGAACGCUGGCGGCAUGCCUUACACAUGCAAGUCGAACGGCAGCAUGAUCUAGCUUGCUAGAUUGAUGGCGAGUGGCGAACGGGUGAGUAAUACAUCGGAACGUGCCCUGUAGUGGGGGAUAACUAGUCGAAAGAUUAGCUAAUACCGCAUACGACCUGAGGGUGAAAGUGGGGGACCGCAAGGCCUCAUGCUAUAGGAGCGGCCGAUGUCUGAUUAGCUAGUUGGUGGGGUAAAGGCCCACCAAAGCGACGAUCAGUAGCUGGUCUGAGAGGACGAUCAGCCACACUGGGACUGAGACACGGCCCAGACUCCUACGGGAGGCAGCAGUGGGGAAUUUUGGACAAUGGGCGAAAGCCUGAUCCAGCAAUGCCGCGUGUGUGAAGAAGGCCUCGGUUGUAAG
rnacentral:rRNA from 1 species